AUUGAACGCUGGCGGCAGGCUUAACACAUGCAAGUCGAGCGGGGUGAUGGUGCUUGCACUAUCACUUAGCGGCGGACGGGUGAGUAAUGCUUAGGAAUCUGCCUAUUAGUGGGGGACAACAUCUCGAAAGGGAUGCUAAUACCGCAUACGUCCUACGGGAGAAAGCAGGGGAUCACUUGUGACCUUGCGCUAAUAGAUGAGCCUAAGUCGGAUUAGCUAGUUGGUGGGGUAAAGGCCUACCAAGGCGACGAUCUGUAGCGGGUCUGAGAGGAUGAUCCGCCACCCUGGGUCUGAGACACGGCCCAGACUCCUACGGGAGGCAGCAGUGGGGUAUAUUGGACAAUGGGGGGAACCCUGAUCCAGCCAUGCCGCGUGUGUGAAGAAGGCCUUAUGGUUGUAAAGCACUUUAAGCGAGGAGGAGGCUCUUUUGGUUAAUACCCAAGAUGAGUGGACGUUACUCGCAGAAUAAGCACCGGCUAACUCUGUGCCAGCCGCCGCGGUAAGAC
rnacentral:rRNA from 1 species